rnacentral:snoRNA from 1 species
ACGACCUUAUUUGAACAGCAUCUGUUCUAUAGGCUUGUACUUCUGUAUCCUUGAGUUCUAAGGAGACAGGAAACUAAGCAUGGUGGAUGAAGUAUAUAUGGCCAAGAGACUAGAGCGUGAUUAACAGCUCCAGACCUUCACUGGGCUGAGCCGUAGAGGAUCGUUCUUAGCCAUGGGUUCAUGGUUGGGAUGGUCUCUUGGCUGUCUGACAAGCU